rnacentral:rRNA from 1 species
AUACAGAGGGGGCAAGCGUUGUUCGGAAUUACUGGGCGUAAAGGGCGCGUAGGCGGCCCGCUAAGUCGAACGUGAAAUCCCCAGGCUCAACCUGGGAACUGCGUCCGAUACUGGCAGGCUUGAAUCCGGGAGAGGGAUGCGGAAUUCCAGGUGUAGCGGUGAAAUGCGUAGAUAUCUGGAGGAACACCGGUGGCGAAGGCGGCAUCCUGGACCGGUAUUGACGCUGAGGCGCGAAAGCUAGGGGAGCAAACG